GGAUGCGAUCAUACCAACACUAAAGCAUCGGAUCCCAUCAGAACUCCGAAGUUAAGCGUGCUUGGGCGAGAGUAGUACUAGGAUGGGUGACCUCCUGGGAAGUCCUCGUGUUGUAUUCC
rnacentral:rRNA from 2 species